GAUGAAGAACGUAGCGAAAUGCGAUACCUGGUGUGAAUUGCAGAAUCCCGCGAACCAUCGAGUCUUUGAACGCAAGUUGCGCCCGAGGCCACCCGGCCGAGGGCACGCCUGCCUGGGCGUCACGCCAAAACACGCUCCCACCCCCCCUCACCGGGGGAGCGGGACGCGGCGUCUGGCCCCCCGUGCCGCGAGGCGCGGUGGGCCGAAGAUCGGGCUGCCGGCGUACCGUGCCGGGCACAGCGCGUGGUGGAUCUCUACUCAGCGCAGUGCACCCGGCGCGUAGCCGGCGCAGCGGCCCCUAAGGACCCAACGAACGGAGCGCGAGCCGCUCCGACCGCGACCCCAGGUCAGGCGGGACUACCCGCUGAGUUUAAGCAUAUCAAUAAGCGGAGGA
rnacentral:misc_RNA from 1 species